GCCAAGGAUGACGGCAGAGGACCCAGCGUGAGAUGGGGAGGCCUCCAGGGGAAAGGACGGACUCAAAAGACCGUGUUUUCUGGGGGCUGCAGAGGCUCAUAGAGGCAGAAGGACACAGAAACCCCUCAGGGAAGAGGGCGAAGGAAGGACGGCAGACAGACCCACACCCCCAGGGGUCACACCAGCCCCAGCCCCUGUGCCUGACGCAGGUGGGCACGGUGGAGCCCCGGCCUUCCCGCCUGGCGCUGCGGGUGUCUCACGGGGCGUCUCCAGCUGUGACGUCCGUGGUCCCUGGACGCAUCACGUCUCUGCCACGAGGUCGUGUUCUCCUGGAGCGGUCCAUGUUACCUCUGUCCUCACCUCUGCUCACAGACCACCUAUAAGGCUCUGACGUCUGCAUGCAUUAGGCUUAUAAAGCUGUGACCCAGGGGUCUGUCUCAGGAAGACGAUGGAAGAAACAGCCCAGCAGCAAAAAGAAAUUUCACUGAGUCUGUUUACAGACAGAAAUAGACCUACAAAAAAAAAAAAAAGAAAAAGAAAUAGA